CCUACGGGAGGCAGCAGUGGGGAAUCUUGCGCAAUGGGCGAAAGCCUGACGCAGCCAUGCCGCGUGAAUGAUGAAGGUCUUAGGAUUGUAAAAUUCUUUCACCGGGGACGAUAAUGACGGUACCCGGAGAAGAAGCCCCGGCUAACUUCGUGCCAGCAGCCGCGGUAAUACGAAGGGGGCUAGCGUUGCUCGGAAUUACUGGGCGUAAAGGGAGCGUAGGCGGAUAGUUUAGUCAGAGGUGAAAGCCCAGGGCUCAACCUUGGAAUUGCCUUUGAUACUGGCUAUCUUGAGUACGGAAGAGGUAUGUGGAACUCCGAGUGUAGAGGUGAAAUUCGUAGAUAUUCGGAAGAACACCAGUGGCGAAGGCGACAUACUGGUCCGUUACUGACGCUGAGGCUCGAAAGCGUGGGGAGCAAACAGGAUUAGAUACCCUGGUAGUCCACGCUGUAAACGAUGAGUGCUAGUUGUCGGCAGGCAUGCCUGUCGGUGACGCAGCUAACGCAUUAAGCACUCCGCCUGGGGAGUACGGUCGCAAGNUUAAAACUCAAGGAAUUGACGG
rnacentral:rRNA from 1 species